GUGGUUGUGGCUCAGUGUUAGAGAGAUCACCUAACAUGCUUGAGGCACUGAGUUCAAUCCUCAGCACCACA
rnacentral:tRNA from 1 species